rnacentral:lncRNA from 1 species
GGUUGAUCUAGGGAUCCUAGCCACAGUGAAUGGGGUCCAUGUGUGACCUGUGAAGUCCUUGCCCUAGGGAGUGCACACCCGGCUCUUCUGUCCUCAGCAGCUCCUGCAAUGAGCACCGGUGCCUAUACUACCCCAUGACAGGACCUGGGAGAGCAAAAGCAAAGCCUUGGAAUCCCUACAGGCUUCCAAGUGUAACUGGCUUGACCCACGCUACCAUCUCGUCAGCAAGAACGCACGCAGGACACUCGGAUCCGUCUGCAGUAAAGCUUUAAUGAAUCUCAAGAGAUAGAUGAUCAGCUUCAGGAGAGGAGACCCAGAGAGCAGAAAACCCUUCCCUUAUAUAGGCUGCGAAGUAAGUUUGGAGACGUGCACUAGCCGGAUUGGCUGCCCACCAUCAGCCAGAUGACGCCAUGGGAGAGGCAGGGCUCAGGUAAUGGAAAGAUACCCUGACGCCUGCGCACACUACUUGUUUUUCACCACGAGCAACAGAUGUCAGCGCCAUUUUGUAAUGGCGACCGUGAGGGCGGCUCCUCACACUGGCUAGUUUUGUGUCAACUUGACACAGCUGGAGUUAUCACAGAAAAAGGAGCUUCAGUUGAGGAAAUGCCUCCACGAGAUCCAGCUGUGGGGUAUUUUCUCAAUUAGUGAUCAAGGGGGAAAGGCUCCUUGUGGGCGGGACCAUCGCUGGG